AUUGAACGCUGGCGGCAGGCCUAACACAUUCAAGUCGAGCGAGCGGCGGACGGGUGAGUAAUGUAUGGGGACUGCCCGAUAGAGGGGGAUAACUACUGGAAACGGUAGCUAAUACCGCAUACUAUCGGAUAACCCAUAUGGGAUUAGCUAGUUGGUGAGGUAAUGGCUCACCAAGGCGACGAUCCCUAGCUGGUCUGAGAUGAUGAUCAGCCAACCUGGGACUGAGACACGGCCGAGACUCCUACGGGGGCAGAAGUGGUGAAUAGUGCACAAUGGGGGCAAGCCUGAUGCAGCCAUGCAGGUUGUAUGAAGAAGGCCCUAGGGUUGUAAAGUACUUUCAGUCGGGAGGCGUUACCGACAGAAGAAGCACCGGCUAACUCCGUGCCAGCAGCCGCGGAAAUUC
rnacentral:rRNA from 1 species